rnacentral:rRNA from 1 species
GGUCACGGGGGGGCAGAUCCAUUUUCUGCCACCGAAUACAUUAGCAUGGGAUAAUGGAAUAGGACCCUGUCCUCCUAUUUUCAGUUGGUUUUGGCAGCGCGAGGACUAGGGUAAUGAUUAAUAGGGAUAGUUGGGGGCAUUAAUAUUUAAUUGUCAGAGGUGAAAUUCUUGGAUUUAUGAAAGAUUAACUUCUGCGAAAGCAUCUGCCAAGGAUGUUUUCAUUAAUCAAGAACGAAAGUUAGGGGAUCGAAGACGAUCAGAUACCGUCGUAGUCUUAACCAUAAACGAUGCCGACCAGCGAUUAGGAGACGUUGAAUACAAAACACCACCAUCGGUUGCGGUCGUCCUUGGCGUCUCGGUUUCGGCCGGGGCGCGGGGACGGUUUAGCCCGGUGGCACCGGUGAAUGACUCCCUAGCAGCUUGUGAGAAAA